CAGCUUUUAUAAAAUAACGAAGGUCUGGGUUUCACGGGCUCUUAGACUGGUAGGUGAUAUAUUUAUUAUUCAAUCGUGAGUAGUAUCAUAGAUAUAUCGUGACAGCAAAGGAUAUAUUAAAUUAUGAAAUAUGUGUGAAAUAAAUCUGAACUAUGCCAUUCAUGAUUAAUACAAACUGACUUUGUUACUCAUUGAAAAAACCUACAUUCUGUGGAAGAUAAUUGGAAUUAUAAUUCGACCCUGAAAAUUAGAGACUGAAAUAUAAUUUUUGCAAUACUCGGUCUCCAAGGAUAACAUUCAUGUAUCUGAACUAUUUCCACAUAUUUCUUCUUCCGGGGUCUCCUUCCUUUUCUUCAAUGAAAUUCCGGACUACACACUUUACCUCAAAUUUUGCGCUACAUGAGAGCACUGCAAUGAUAACGCUCUGUAGAACAAACUGGAAACGAUCCCGCUCUAAUUUAUCUGGUUCUGCGGGUUUCCGUGGACUGCUCAUCUUCUUGGAAUUGCUCUCCGAUAAUCCCAAAUAACCCUAAGUUAUCUUUCCACAAUGCGCAGCUAUUACGGGAGCGUCUGCAGCAUUUGAAGACAAUUGUGGCUGCGUUAACUGAAAAUAGAAAAGUAGAGCAAUG
rnacentral:misc_RNA from 1 species